rnacentral:lncRNA from 1 species
UAUAACCAUGGAUGUCAUGAUUUGGUUUUUGGGCUACAUUAAAGCCCCCGAAAAUAAUAAUUAUUUUCGGUCCAAUGGGCCAACGCCUCUGAUCAUUUUUGAGUUGCAAUUUUUAGAAUCACGGUUGUGGGCGUUUAUUACGAUCAAUAAGGCUCCUCUGGUAUCUCAACUAUUGAUAGUUUAAAUGCAUAUAUUUCCUUAGAUUGGACGAUUACCCUUUAAAGUACAAAUUUAACAAUUUUGUCGAGCGUACAGUUUCGUAUAGCAGGAGCUCCUCCAGUUUUAAGGCUGAGGUCGAAUCGUCUUUGUUCAGAGUUUUUAUAUCAUUAAGCAUUUUUCUCAUAUAUCUCUAUUUUUCUCUGACUUUUUGAAUUAAGAUCCUGCCUUGCCUGAAA